UACAGAGACUGCAAGCGUUAUUCGGAUUCACUGGGCGUAAAGGGUGCGCAGGCGGUGGGGUGUGUCAGAUGUGAAAUCCCGAGGCUCAACCUCGGAACUGCGUCUGAAACUACUCGACUAGAGUACUGGAGAGGGUAACGGAAUUCACGGUGUAGCAGUGAAAUGCGUAGAUAUCGUGAGGAACACCAGAGGCGAAGGCGGUUACCUGGACAGUUACUGACGCUCAGGCACGAAAGCAUGGGGAGCAAAAGGG
rnacentral:rRNA from 1 species